rnacentral:rRNA from 1 species
AACGAACGCUGGCGGCGUGCCUAAUACAUGCAAGUCGAACGAGAAAGUGGCUUCGGUCAUGAGUAAAGUGGCAGACGGGUGAGUAAUACAUAGGUAAUUUACCUCCAAGAUGGGGAUAACCUUCCGAAAGGAGGGCUAAUACCGAAUUAGACCACAGGUGCUUUGGCACUAGGGGUUAAAGGUGGCCUCUACUUGUAAGCUACCGCUUGGAGAUGAGCUUAUGCACCAUCAGCUUGUUGGUAGGGUAACGGCCUACCAAGGCUUUGACGGUUAGCUGAUCUGAGAGGUUGAUCAGCCACACUGGAACUGAGACACGGUCCAGACUCCUACGGGAGGCAGCAGUAGGGAAUAUUGCGCAAUGGAGGAAACUCUGACGCAGCGACGCCGCGUGGGUGAUGAAGGCUUUCGGGUCGUAAGCCCUGUCGGCAGGGAAGAAAAACGUAAGCAGCUAACAUCUGCUACGCUUGACGGUACCUGCAAAGGAAGCACCGGCGUAACU